ACUUUAAUGUGGAAGUACUCACUUUGUUCCUAAAAAAAAGGUGAGUGCUUCCAUGUUUUAGUGA
rnacentral:pre_miRNA from 1 species